UACAGGACGAACGCUGGCGGUGUGCUUCACACAUGCAAGUCGAACGAGGUAGCAAUACCUAGUGGCGGACGGGUGAGUAACGCGUGGGAAUCUGCCUUAAGAUGGGGGAUAACGGGCCGAAAGGCUCGCUAAUACCGCAUAUGCCGAAAGGUGAAAGGAGUAAUCCGUCUUAAGAUGAGCCCGCGUCCGAUUAGCUAGUUGGUAGGGUAAAAGGCCUACCAAGGCGACGAUCGGUAGCUGGUCUGAGAGGAUGAUCAGCCACAAUGGGACUGAGACACGGCCCAGACUCCUACGGGAGGCAGCAGUAGGGAAUCUUGCGCAAUGGGCGAAAGCCUGACGCAGCCAUGCCGCGUGAAUGAUGAAGGUCUUAGGAUUGUAAAAUUCUUUCACCGGGGACGAUAAUGACGGUACCCGGAGAAGAAGCCCCGGCUAACUUCGUG
rnacentral:rRNA from 1 species